AGACAAUCAUGCAAUUAAUCAUUUAAUAGAUUGACAGCCCUACUUCGUUUCUAUUGUUGCCCUUUUUCAGCAGCACCCAUUCCACCAUGACAAUAUGGGCAUAAACCAUAAUCUCCCAGACUAAAGCUGGCACAGUAUAGUCUGGACUGUAAUAAUUCAUUUGGUCACAGGUAUUACAAAUAUGCAGGGGGACAAUUAUCUCACUUCCAACGACCUCUUGACUCAAAAGUCUGACUCCUAAUCCAACACAGCUUUGUCCUCAGCUGCAAACAGUGUGGAAAAAUAACAGCUUCAUGCUCCAUAUAACAGUUACACACAUACAUAAGUUAGCUAGCUAACACUUAAAGGGUGUAGCUAGUGAGCUAUUGUUUCACAUGUAAACAGAUGGGAGUGCAGGUCAACCAGUUAGACCUUGUUCACACAACACUGAUGACAAUGUGGGCAUAAACCAUAAUCUCCCAGACUAAAACUGGCACAGUAUAGUCUGGACUGUAAUAACUCAUUUGGUCACAGGUAUUACAAAUAUGCAGGAAAACCAAUAUCUCACUACCUUGAGAGGGAUGUUAAUAGAAAUAAAGAACAGAAUAUAAUUUUUGAGCGUGGGUGGGAUACUACAAAUAUGCAGGGGGACUAACAUCUCACUUCCAAUGACCUCUUGACUCCCAAGUCUGAAUCCUAAUCCAACACAGCUUUGUCCUCAGCUGCAAAACAGUGAGUUUUGUUGCAAAAUAGCAGCUUCAUGCUCCAUAUAACAGUUACA